rnacentral:tRNA from 1 species
GAGGGAUGCCCGAGUGGUUAAAGGGGACGGACUGUAAAUCCGUUGGCUAUGCCUACGUUGGUUCAAAUCCAACUCCCUCCACCA